UACGGGGGGAGCAAGCGUUGUUCGGAUUUACUGGGCGUAAAGGGCGCGUAGGCGGUAGCACAAGUCAGUUGUGAAAUCUCCGGGCUUAACUCGGAAAGGUCAACUGAUACUGUGCGACUAGAGUGUGGUAGGGGAGACUGGAAUUCCUGGUGUAGCGGUGAAAUGCGCAGAUAUCAGGAGGAACACCGAUGGCGAAGGCAGGUCUCUGGGCCACUACUGACGCUGAGAAGCGAAAGCAUGGGGAGCGAACAGG
rnacentral:rRNA from 1 species